AAGUCAAUUCUUUUCCGACUACUCAUAUUUUGAAGUAGUACCCCAAAACUACAACUGAAAAUCAAAAUCAUUAAAAUUUCCUUCCUUCCUCCAAACACCUCUUUUUCAGCGUCAAUGGAUUAUUCUUCCAACUACACACCGUACUCUCCCUCCCAUUGGGAUUACGUCAAUCUAUUCCUUUUCCGUCCAAUUCUUGCCAUCGUAUUCGUACUCUCUCUACUUCUCCUUGGUCUCUCUCCUUUUCUCUCUAUGUAUACGUACUUAUAUAUAUAUAUAUAUAUAUAUAUAUAUAUAUAUUUAUACACACAUGAUCUGGGCUCCUAAAAUUAUGCUAAUUAGGGUUUUUUGUUUUUCUAAUGUGAUGCAGGUUGGUUUUUGGCGUGGAAGCUAGUAUUGGUACAUGUACCACUGGUUCAAGAAAUUUUCGGUCUCCGUAAAAAGGCCAUCAAACCUAAACCCCCAACUCGCCGCCGUCUCACCAAAUUCUACAACAGUUUGAAUGCCAAAGACUGGUAAUUUCUGUUUCCUUCAAGUAUCUCUUUUUUUUCAAUUGUUUUUGUGCCCAAUAUUUAGAAUUGGAAUAUAGAUAGAUUUUUGAAUUCUGUUGUUAAAAUUUUGAGGCCCCUUUGGGAACCUGAUUUGAUUGUUUGGAAUUGGAAGUCCCAAUUCCAAUACUGUUAAAUUAAGCUUGGAUGAUUGUUUGGUAUUUUAAUUUGUUUGGGUAAAUUUGAUCCCACUAUAAUUAAUUUACUUGAUUUUACUAUUAAGGCAUUAAAAUGUUUGAUAUCUCAUUUUCAGUUGUCUUACUUUAUGCUAAUUAGGCUUAUUUUAAAAUGACUUAUAAGUUAAAAUUUAAAAUGACUUAUAACUCAUAAUAAACUGUGACUUAUAACUAAAAAUGUUUGGCAUUACUUUGAGUUAUAAAUUAGAAAUUAAGUUAAAACAAUUUGUGAGUGUUUGGGUGAUAAUGACGUAUAAGUCAAAAUAAAUUAUAGAGAUUACUAGAAAGGAUGUUAAUAAAAAAAACAACAGAUUGAUUCAAUAUUCCAUCAUAAGAAUCACCAUUGCAACAUUAGUAAAACAUUAAAGUGAACCAUUAAAAUACUGAGGUAGGUCCAAGACAUGUAAACAAAUAAAAAUUAAAAAGUCUACACACCAAAUUUUAAAAUUUCAGUCAAUUAACAGAAAGAGCUUGAAAACACUUUAAAGAAUAAUUUGGAGCAAGUGCACUGGAAAAGUGUUAUCUUGAUGCAUAAUGUUACCAACUGCACAUAAUUUUGACUCUUCAAGCAAUUGCUAAUAGAGCUUGAGGGAGAGAAGGGGAGGAAUGCGAGGGAGGGAGAGAGGGAAAAUAGUGAGGGGGAGAGAUGGAGAGAGGGAGGGAGAUAUAAAGAGAGGUUAUAUAUAAUUCGUGAAAAAGAUGGAGGGUAAAAUAGUCAUUGCAUUUGGUCGAACCAACUUAUUUAGAAUGACUUAUAAUUCAUUUUUGAUAAGUAAGAAAUUGUUAAUUCCCAAAACAACUUAUAAGCUAGAAAUUAAGUCACAGAAGAACUAGUAAAAAACAACUUAUAAGUUGACCAACUUAUUGCGUGUAGUUUCUGUUUAUGGGUGGAGCGCCAGUUUUUAAGGGUAAGACUCAAGAAAGAAACUUCGACAAUUCUAGCUUGUUGAAGUUCUCUUUAUCUCUCCUGCAGCUCGAUGUUAAAAACUUUCAGUCUCAUUUAAUGUUGAUGAUGUUUUAUUAGCUGUGGUCCAAGUAAAGGAAUUGCUGAAAAUUUCCUUGAAGAGUUUAUAUAGAUAUACAUUACAUACAUAUAUACACAUGUAUAUUUUGAACGAUCCAUUUUGAAUCGCAAUAACACAGAACUUUCUUCCCCAUCUUUUAUUCCCUAUCCAUCUUGCGAAUUAACUUGGGUUAUAAGUUUGGUUCUGGACCGUAUCUUUUGGUGUAAUUGGUUAGUGACCACAACCACCCUAAGGCUUAUAUAUAUGUUUACAUUCAAAAGUCAAAACAAUUAUAGGGUGGAUGAUCUCUUGGAGUUAUAUUUUAUAUUCUUGUGGGGGUAGGAACAUACACCUGGUUUAGUAGAUCCUCACGAUACUAGUUGUUUGAGGUUUUCGGUUUGUUUUUAUAAUGAGAUCUUACAAGGUCAGGGUGGGUGUUUUAUAUGGAAAAAUUUGGCAUGUGGGAUUGUCGAGAAAGAUGGCCUUUUUUUAAUUUAAUCUUAGACGGCUGCUUUGGGAGCUAAUUUGAUGUCAGUUUCCUUAUGGCAAAGGUUUAAGCAUUUGGGUAAUCGAUACUAUAUGUGGAGGAAGGGUUGGGAAUCAGUUGACCAUUUGCUUUUGCAUUGGAAGUUUGUCAGAGAACUUUGUUCAAUAUCUUUAUGUUUUUUGGUGUUCCUUGAGUGAAGCCAAGAUAGGAUCAAGCAUUGUUAUAGGCCUAGAGGGGAGUAUGGGUUCUGAAGAAUAGUCGAAGGUGCUCAUUGCUUGUGUCGGCAAUUAUGGAGAGAGGAAAUGUAGAUAUUGUGAAGAGAAGGAGCGUUCAAUUUUUCAUAUUAACUAUUUUUUCCAAGCCUCCUUUUUUUUUUGGCUCCAUAAGUCUUAUCAGGGCUUGAUAGAUUUUUUUGUCGAUUUUGUAGCAGAGUUAUGCCUGUUAGCUUGAGAUGGCUUUUUGUCGUUAAGGCUAGGUUCCCUACUUUGUAAACAAUUUUCUAAAAGAUGCCCUAGUUGGGCACCUUGGCAGAGGUCGCUGCCCAACGAAUUGAUUAGGCUGAAAUCGACUAAAGAAAUGCUUGAGCUUUUUUAUUUUGUUUAUAUAUAUAUUAUUUCUUUUGCUUUUUAUGUGAUGUUUUAAGGUAAAUAAAUAAGAUUAAAUUAAAACUUAAAAACAAGCCAACCAAGUUCUCACCAUCUUCCUCUUUUUCAUAGAGAGAACUAUGAGUCUAAGAGAAAGACAACGCAAAUGAAUUGAGGAAGAGAGGGAUUGAAAGACGAUGCCAAUUGGUUUAAGGAAACAUGCGAUUGGCGUCGGUGGAGAUGGGAUAACGAGGAUGCCAAUUGUCCCAGUAAGUGACUCGUGGAGUUGCUAGUCUCGAAGGGAGGUGACUAGGUUUUGCUAUGGGUUAGUGACAAGUGACAAUUUGGUGCAUCUUUUUUUCCCUGGCUGCCUGGAGUAAUUGAGUUGAAGGGUAAGGGACUAGGGUUUUCUAUGUAUGUCGGUGUCUACUCUUAUUUCUAUCAUAAUUUCUUUUUUUUCUUGACAACUAUUCUUCAUUUCUUUAAACAAUGUGACAGAACACUGUACAUGUGAUAAUAGAUGACCCAAAUGCACACGUGAUGUGAGAAUGGAAAAGGAAAGUGGAUAAAUUUUUGAAAAACGGCAAUAAGUAUGAUUUACAUAAAAAAGUUGUGAAACAUAAAAAUAAAUAAAUAAACUUCCUAGAAAAAUACCUACGCGAGCCUGUGCUGCCUAGUUAGCUAUAAACCACAAACACCUCCCGAAGAUCAAUGAGUUAGUAUUGGGGGCGUCUCAGACAUAGUUGUUACGACGUAGCCUUGGCGACGCCUAGGCGUUCUGGCGAUGAAAAGAAGGCCAUGUCGUGCAUCGACAUGAGGCAGGGUAACCAAGGCUUGCGCCUUCGCGGCUUUAGCCCAACUUAAUUUUUUUUACCCGGUUAUGGGUCUUCUACUUGCCUAACAGCCAUCAUGAUGAAGUUUAAAGCCCUAAACUCGACAUCAACUCCUCUCAGUCCUCUGCCUUCACGACAUCGACAUUGCGUCUCGCCGACUCCUCUUCCUCUUCCUCAUGACUCAUUUCCUUGGUUCCUCUUCGACUUUGCCUCCCCAAUUGAGCCUCCCUCAGUCGCACCUGCCCCAAUUGCGAACCUCCCCCAGUCGAGCCUCCCUUAGGUCUGUUCUCUCCUCUCUAUCACAUGCGAAAUAUGUUGUUGUUUUGCUGGGUAUCUUCCUUCUCCCUUACUGCUAUGUUGGGUAUUUUGUUUGUGAUAUGUUGGGUUACUUGGGUAUUCUUAAUGUUUUAGUCAAUUAGUCUUCUUAUGUAAUAUGUUGGGUAGUUUUAGACUCUGUAUAAGAUUAAAUAAUAUUGUUUUGGACAUGGGUAUUGUUUUUAACUAUUAAAAUUUGCAAACUUUACGCAAUAUGAACUUUACAUAAUAUGUUGGACAGUGAGUAUUUUUUUGGACAGUGGGUAGUGUUUAACUACUAAAAUAUAUUGUUUUGGACAGUGGGUACUAAACAAUUAUUUCUCAAUCUUUUUGGAACUGAGACAUAUAUCUACAUGUGUGUUUUUUUUAACUUAGGUGGUUACAUUUUGGACAUCAGGUUAAGUCCUAUGCUAAUACAUACAUUGAUAAUUACUAUUGUCGACUAAAAAGAUAUGUAACAUUUUAUCUACUUAAUGUUUUGGAUAGUGGGCGGUGGUUAUUGUUUGUAUAAUUAAUUAAUUAUGGAGUAUGGACCAAAAGUAAUACAUUCAAUGAUUCAAAAGUAAAAACAAAAGUAGGUAAUAUUUUGAUGAAUGGUUUGUUAUUUGGAUCAAUUUUGUCUUAUAUUUUUUAUUUGAUUGUAUUGUGUAGAAAGUAAAAUGGCGAAAAGUUCGGGGGCCGAUAGUUAUGAUUUAACCAAGGACCUUAAAAGAAAAGCUAAAUCGAACGAUCCGGGUUGGAAGUAUGGAUAUUGGCCAGAUAUAAGUAAUAAGAAUAUCGUGCAAUGUAUACUUUGCAGGAAGAAAUGUCAUUUGGGCAUCAAGAGGCUCAAGCAACAUCUAGCUGAAAAUUUUGGAGAUGUAGCGAAGUGCCCUUAAACAUCAACAUUUAUGAGGAAAAUGAAAGCGGCUUUGAAUAGUUAAAAGAGGAACAAGCCAAUUGAGUUAGAUGAUGAUGAUGAUAAUGAUGUAGAAGUGCAAGAAGAUCAUCUGCUCCUCCAAGCAUGGCUUCCAAUGCUUCCUCUAACACUAUCCCAAGUUCUGGAUCGCUUCCAAAAGGAAAAAGUUGCUUUUCAAUUCCAAAUGCCACAAUAAAAAGCUCCGACAAAGACGGUUGAAACACUUCUAAGGAAGAUUCCUGAGUUGUAAAUGAGAGGCAUAGCAAGCGUUUGAGCCAAACGAUUAUUGAAAAUCGUUUGAGGACACCGGAGGAAAAGGAGAGAGUCCAUAUGCACAUUGCAACUUUUUCUAUGAGUGUGGUAUACCAUUCAAUGCUGCAAAUGCAAAGAGCUUCGAGGUAAUGAUCGAGUCCAUAGGGCAAUACGGGCCGAGUUUGAAGCAUGUACGUAUCAAAGUUGAGGGUUCCUUUUCUUGAGAAGGCAAAGAAGCAAACCCAUGAGUUAAAGGUGAAACAUGAAGUUUCUUGGAAGCAAUAUGGUUGCACACUUAUGUCGGUUCGUCGGAUCGUUGGACAGAUUGAAGGAGAAGACACUUGUUGAAUUUCCUUGUUAAUUGUCCGGAGGGGACUUACUUCAUGGGUUCUGUUGAUGCCUCUAGUCAGUCGCAAGAUGCUACAAUGUUGACAAAUCUCCUUGAUAGUAAGAUUGAGGAAAUUGACCCCGAGUAUGUUGUUCAGGUGGUCACGGACAAUGUCCCUAAUUACAAGGCAGCGAGACAUAUACUAAUGGAGAGGAUACCUACAUUGUUUUGGACACCUUGCGCCACUCACUGCCUAGACCUUAUGUUAGAGGACAUAUGCAAGCUGAAGGAAUUACAACCCAAUAUUACAAAUACAAGAAGAAUCACAACAUUCAUUUACAGGCAUGGUCGUUAUCUUUAUGCGAUGAGGGAAAAAACAAAUGGGAGGGAUCUUGUGAGACUUGGAGUUACUAGAUUUGCUACAACUUUUCUCACCUUGCAGAGUUUGUACAAACAUAGAGAUGUAUUGAGGCAUUUGUUCAUAAGCGAGGAUUGGACAAAAUCUUAGUUGUCGGCUACUGAAGCGGGGAAGAAAGUAUGUUAUAUUGUAAUUUUAACUACAUUUUUGCAUCAUGUUGAGGAUUGCAUUAGGGUGUCACAACCACUUCUUGUAGCCAUGAGGAUUGUUGAUGGUGAUGGGAAGGAAGCCUGCUAUGCCAGAAGUUUUCACUGCGAUGGAGUGUGCGAAGAAAAAAAAUCAAAGAUUCAUUUGAUAACAAACAAAGACUCUACAAGAAGGUGAUUGACAUUGUUAAGCGGCAAUGGGAAAGCCAAAUGGAGCAAAAAUUGUAUGGGACUGCGUUGUUUCUCAAUCCGGACAAGUACUUUGAUAUCAAAGAGGAACGUUCAGAGUUAGCUUGCACUUUACGAGAAGACUUCAAUGACAUUCUUGCAAAGAUGGUGUCCAAGCUAGAUUUGCUAGACAAGAUAAGCGAUUUAGUCGAUAACUAUGAUGCUUCUUGAGAUACUUUUGCAAGAGAAAUGACAAUUAGGCAACGAAAAUUAAAAAAUCCUCGUAAGUAUAUUGAAAUAUAUAUAAAGAUAUAAAAUAUAAAUUAUAAUUAUAUACAUUAUUCUUUUAAAAAUAUUUAUAUUUCUUUUAAAUGUUUGCUAGUUGAUUGGUGGAACGCUUUUGGAGGGCGGACUAUUGAGCUUACAAAGUUUGCAAAAGAAUUCUAGGCUUUUGUUAUUCUUCUUCCAGUUGUGAGCACAAUUGGAGUACAUUUGAGUUUGUAAGUACUUUCUAUUGUUGGUUCAAAAGUAAUAAGUCAUUCAUUACUAAUACUAACUAUUUUUUAUAUAAUUAAAAUUUUAUCAUUAAUAUUGUUAUUUUUUAUUUUAUUUAUUUUAGAUUCAUACAAAAAAGAGGAAUAGAUUGGAACACAAACGAUUGAGUGACUUGAUAUAUGUGCAAUACAAUCAAAAGAUCGUUUCAAGGUUCCAAAAGGCGUGAACUUGAAUUUUUUUUUGAUCCUUUAGCUAUUGAUGACUUUGAAUGGGGUAAUGAAUGGAUCAAUAAUGAGACUGAUGUUAUUCACCCUGGGGAGGAUCUUAUAUGGAAUGAUGUGGAUUGAGCAACCGGUGUAUCCAACAUGCUUGAGGGUCGCAAUCCUUCAAGGAAGGCUCGUGCUAAUACUAGUGAUAAUGUCAUUACAUACUCUAAACGUGGUGGUGGUUCAACUUCAAGGGAAUCAAGGUUGAUAGAUUCCGACUCCAAUGAUGAAGAAGAGAGAAUUCCAAAUGACGAUAUAGAUGUGGAGGAUGAUUUUGGAAAGACCACCUAUGUCUUUGAAUGAGAGUAGUUCACGUGGAGGAGAUGGAGACGACUUUGUUCUUGAUGAGUUUGCUUGAACGAUGUUUAGAGAAUAGUGUAGAGAGUCUAGACAUUAUUUUGGCUUGCUAUGUGGUGUUUUAUUAGUUAUUAGACUAGUAAUAUGUUAUGGUUGGUUGCUACUUUAUUUUCUAUGAGGUGUUUGUUGAAUUCUUCAUUUCUUAUCAAGUGUUUUAUUUUUGGAUUGUUAUUACUAAAUAUUUACAUAAUUGUGCUUUUAAUGUUAUUCUAUAGUGUUACGUUUUGGGUUUUAAUGUAAAUGAAUUUUUUUUGGCAAUAUACUUGUUAAGUAAAAUAAAUAAUAUAUAAAUUGCACAUUGUAAAUGAUUUGUCGCCAUACGGACGACAUGACGGUCGCCUAGGCGUCUUGACAGUCGGCUACCGUCAUGACUCGUCGUGGCGCUGUGACAGCUAUGAUCUUGGACACGAACACGACAUGGACAUGUUGGGACAUGUACCCGAAACAUGUCCCAACAAUUAGUUUUUAAUAUUUAUAUUUAGGACAUGUAAGGACACGCGGGUACAUGUUUGGCAAAAGGUGGUGUCACAUUCGAGACAUGCUUUACCGGUAUAUUAAGAUACAUUUGAGGUCAAAAAUAUAAAAGUAAGGGAUUUCAAUGUAAUCUCUAAUGUUAAUUAGGGUAUCCAAUGGAAGAAGAUAAAAGUGAUGGGCUGGAAUAGAAUAAUUUCUUUAAUUAUUAUAAUCGAAGAUCUUUUUAUUACACGAAGGAUUUAUUAUUCUCUCAUUCGAAGUUCAAACACAGGCACUCCGCAGGAAGAGGAGGUAGAAAAUACAUACAAAAGGGUUUUGAUCCAUUCGACCCUCUCAUUGAUCGUGUCUCAUCGCUGGUCUCUCAACUCUCAUCGUGUCAUAUCCAUGUCUCAUGUCCGAAUUGGUGCCUCAUAGCUGCCUAGGUCUGCCUAGCGGCUUUAGAACAUUACUCGUAGGGUUCGUGUGGCUGUUUUCUAUGUUUUUUGUAUACUCUGCGUGUACCGUGAUGGCAUCCCCUUUGAUGCCCUUUCAUAUACAUGAUUACUUAUCAUAAAAAUAAAAAUGAUAGCUUUCUCUCCAUUGCAAGUUUUCAACAUCUAGUCAUACGAUGGUAAGAUAUUUAUAAACAGAUAUCAGCAUUAAGAAAUUCUAAGAUUAUGCAAUAUCUAAAUUCGUUGAUUUCCAGCACAAAACAAGUACUGGCUAUCCUCCAUGCACUCGUCCCUUCAAAACUCACCAGCCAAGUUGUUUGUACGUAAGAAAUGUCAAGCCAAGUAGUUGUUUGCAUGUAUGAUGUAUCAAGACAAGUUGUUUGUUUGUAUGAUGUAUCAAGCCAAUACUAGAGACUCUCAAGCUAACUUUGCCAUGCUGAUAUUGUUUGUUUGCAUAUAAGUAUGACACAUGUAUAUGUAUAUUGUGAUGUUGAAUUGUUUGUUUACAUAAAUAGGACACAUGUAUAUGUAUAAUACAUCACUUUUGUUAAAGAAAUUACUAGAGCAACAUAAACACACAUAUACAGAGUGAGUGAGAGAGAGAGAGUGUGUGUUCAUGGAUACUAGAGAGGGCACAAUCAGUGUACUAAUGCUACCAUGGCUAGCCCAUGGUCACAUAUCUCCCUUUUAGAGCUAGCAACAGAACUUUCAAAGAGACGGUUCAAUGUCUUUCUAUUCUUCACCUAUCAUCCUUAAUUCUAUCAAGAAAAGAACUUCUACGACACUCCAUUUCUAUACACCUAGUAGAACUUCAUCUUCCAUCUUCAUCUGAUCUUCCUCCCCACUACCACACUACAAAUGGUCUCCCGCCCUAUCUCAUGCCUACACUCAAAUAAGCCUUCAAGACGUCGAGCCCUACCUUCUCCAAUGUCCUUAAAACCCUAAAUCCAGAUUUAUUAAUGUACGACUUCUGUCAGCCAUGGGCUGCAGAGAUUGCUUCAUCUCAGAAUAUUCCAUCCAUUCAUUUCAGAACUUCUGCAGCAGUGAGCGCUUGUUUAAGAGUUCAUCUUUUCAAAAGCCCAGGUGAAAAAUUCCCAUUUGCAGAUAUUUAUGAUAAUGGUAACAAUAUGUGUGAACCUUCAGCAGAUCAAGUCAAGGACAGAGACCGUUUUUCUGCAUCUUUGAAAUGAUCUUGUAAUAUUGUUUUGAUUAAAAGUUUUAGAGACCUUGAAGGAAAAUAUAUUGAUUAUCUUUCCAUAGUAGCUAAGAAAACCAUAAUCCCUGUCGGUCCGCUUGUUCAAGAUCCCAUUAAAGAAGAUCACAAUGAUACACAUACAGGGAAUAUCAUACGUUGGCUUGAGAAAAGAGACAAGUCUUUGGUGGUGUUUGUUUCUUUUGGUAGCGAGUACUUUCUAUCCAGGACGGAGAGAGAAAAGAUAGCUCAUGGGUUGGAGCUAGCAAGGUUUACUUCAUAUGGUUGGUAAGAUUUCCUCUUAGAGAGAGUUAUUCAGAUUGAAAAGGAACUACCAGAAGGUUUUCUUGAUACGGUUGGGAAAAGAGGAUUGAUUGUUGAGGGGUGGACCCCACAGGCAAGAAUUUUGGGACAUACAAGCACCGGUGGGUUUGUGACCCAGAUUUUGAGCACUGGUUGUAGCGACAAUAUCUCAAAUCAACGGUGGGGUCUGUUUGGCACCUCCGCAGAAAGAAUUAUUCAUUGGGAUCAACAUGAGAGUCCAACUACAUUGAUAUGGGUGCAGCGAUAUUGGAUAAAUACAAAGAGGAUAGUGAAGGUGAGAAGCCGCUCGGAGACUAUUCUGUGCUGUGAAUAACCAGAAUUGGUUCCACCACGGCCGCCAUUGCGACCACCUCCACGACACAACAACACACUUUCAAUCAGUAUCAAAAGGAGGUAACCAAGCCUUCUUCUAGAACUGUUUGGAUGGAUAAAGCUGGACAUGGAUGGCUCCUCGGUUGAGAGCUCCGUGAUUGGUUCAAGGAGAACGACCUUUGAAGAUGUCGAUUCGCGAGGGUUGUCCCAAGAAGCGGAAGCGUCAGCUAAGUGCAGACAUGGGGCAUGAGGAGUCCUUGGACUUUCUCGUGGAAGAGGAGCAUCAAAAUUACUGAGUUUUAUGAAGAACACUGACAAAGCUUUAUCAAUAAAGGGAGUUCUUUCAUCAAUAAAGAAAGGCUUGGAGAUUUGUUUCGUAAAAGCACCUUCUUCCUAUCCAUGUUUCUAUCUUUACUAGCAGAGACGACCCUCAAUGGACGCUGUACUCCAACAACCAUAACGGUCGAAUUGGGCAGGCCCCUGCCCCGGAACUCAGAGUCAUUGCGGAUGGAGUUCUGUUAUGGAGAGCAUGAAGUUUGGCUUGCCAAUUAUUUCCAUGGCCAUUCAUUUUGAUCAGCCUCUCAAUGCUCGGCUGGUGGUGGUCCUGGUGGAGGUUGGUGUGGGUAUGGAGGUUGUGAGAGGCGACAAAUGGGAGGUUUAACAGAAGAGAGAUUGAGGGGUGAAAAGAAAGGUUGUGGUGGAAAAAUUGGGGAGGUUGUGAGGAUGAAAACAAGGGAAAUGAGUGAGAGAAUGAGAGAGAAAGGAGAGAGAUAGGUAGGGAGGUGGAGGAGCUAAUACAGAUUUGCAGGAAGAAAGAAUAGUUUCUUUUCUAAGAUUAUAGAACAUGUUUCUUAAGUUAUAUUUGGAAAAAAAAAUGUAAUACUUUUUGACACACAUAUAUACAUACAUAUAUAUAAUCAUAUAUACUUGCAAGUUAUAUUGACACUUGAAAGGCUACAAGGCCAUAUAAUUUUUUUUUGAAUUUCAAAGUAAUAAAUUGUUGUUGAUCCAUGGGAAAUCUGUGUAGAGAAGUGCGUAAACAUCCUUAACUAAUUUAUAUGGCCUUGUUGGCUGCCCCUGGGCAAUGUUUGUUGCCAUGAGCUUAAGUCUAAUAACAAAUUUAACAAUUCGAAGAUACAUAGUUCUGAGUACUAAUGGACAACAAGACAGCUCCGUUGAUUAUGUUAGGGAAAAGUUUGGAGAAAUGCCAUAGUUCUGUGAGCUUAUGAUUGCUAAAUGAUAAGUUGUAAAUAUUUGAAGCAUGCAUAUUUCUUCUGAGCAUAGGCGGAUCCAGCGAGGGGCGAGGAGGGGGGGGGGGCAAGUGCCCAGCGUUGCCUUUUGAUAUUUUUUUACAAGUAUAAUGUUAAUAUGGUAAAGUGAUGCUCCCCUUAAGAAAAAAAUAUUAGGUCACUUAUCAACAAUUAGAUAUUUCUAAUAUACGUUAAAAAAAGGAUAUUUCUAAUAUCCUCUUUCAAAUUCAAAUUUCAAAUUUUGUUUUCACGAGUAUUUGGAUUUUUCCCAAUUUAUAGGGUUAAGGUUAUAUCAUUAAACUUACCUCUAUUUUUUUAUUAAUUAUCUAUGAGUAGUUAAUUGUUUAGUUUUGAUUCUUAUUUGUUUUUAUUCCUUCAUACUAAUUAGCAUAUCCGUACAAGCUUCUUAAUUUUCCAGUAUAUAUUGAAGUUGUCGGUAUGUGUAUCAUUUGAUGUUGUAUUAAAAUCAAUAACGACAUCCGUACAUGCUUCUUAAUUAUAAGAGUGCCCUGCAUCCGCCCCUGCUUCUGUGUACAUAUAUGUACACAAGUAGUUUAGGUCUUUAUAAACUGAUCCAAUAUUUUGCUCCUAUAAGAUUAAGCUCUCCAUUUUCUAUUUUGAAUUUCAUUCUUUUUAUGAUUUAUGUCUGCCUAUUAGAAUAACUUUUCAUGGAAACUUUAGUAUUCCCUCCGUUCCAAAAUACUCCCCCCAUUCCAUAAUAUAAGAUAUUGACUUUUUGAAAACCACCCAAGACAUUUUUAAAUUCAAAAUUGACAUGAAUUUCUUUAAUUUUAUUCAAUAUAAUGAUGAAUAUUGUGAAGUAUUAACAAAUAUGAAUCAUUGUAAAAUUUUUUGUUUCAUAAUUUCAUCGAAUCAUCUCAAUUUUUGAGUUUGAAAAUGUUUUAAAUUAACUUUUAAAAGUCAAUAAUGAUCUUAUAAUUUGGAACAUAGGAAGUAUAAGGUAAAUAUUGACUUUUUAAAAGUUAAUGUGGAACAUUUUCAAAUCCAUGAAUCCUUUUUAAAAAAAUUCAUUAUAAUUACGAUUACUAUAAACUAUCUAAAUAAAAUGUACUACUAAUUAUUAGUAUAUUAUUUUCAAAACUUCAUGAAAAUGUCUUAAAUUGACUUUUUAAAUUGAAUUUUAAAAAAUCCAUAUUGAGCUUAUGUUCUGGAACGGAGGGAGUAUUAUAUUAAUGUUCAAAAUCUCGUUGUAGAGUAUGUGAGUGAUGAUUUCAUUUGACAUUAGAGAUUCAAAAUUUGUUUCUUUUAUUAAUAUGUAAAUUCCAUGUGCAAAAUCUACAGAAAACGGCGGUAUCAAUUGAUGGAUUCCCUACAAGAAGCAACAUUUACAGGUGGACAGGGUUGAAGAAUAAGAACAUCGACAUGAAGCAACAUUUCCAGGUAGACAGGGUUGAAGAAUGAGAGAUGAAGUUUGCUCACAAAAGAUUUGUUGUGCCAAUAGCUUGCAUACAACUUUUCGCGUGUAUGUGCGCUUGAUUUCAAUUCUGUAAAUAAUGUUAUUUAAAUUCAGUGUUGAAAUAGUUUGGUCUUCUGUAUGUCAUAUCAUAGCUCAGGGUGCUUGUUAUGAUUCUUUUACUACGUUUUUCAUUUGAUUUCAAAUUUAUGAGACUUUUAGGACCUUGAGAGGCCCUAACUAACUGAUUUGAUAGGUAAAUUUAGAAAGAAAGAUAUUUCAAUUGCAGAACUUGAGGGAAGAAGGGGGGCAGAAAAAAGGAAGAAAGGAGGUGAGGAAGGGGUUUACGGGAGUAGCAUCACAAAAGUGUGCUCUCAGUUUUUAUUUCAAUACUCG
rnacentral:lncRNA from 1 species